UACGUAGGGGGCAAGCGUUGUCCGGAUUUAUUGGGCGUAAAGAGCGUGUAGGCGGCCAGAUAAGUCCGCUGUGAAAUCUCGAGGCUCAACUUCGAGCUGUCGGUGGAAACUAUCUGGCUAGAGUCCGGAAGAGGAGAAUGGAAUUCCUGGUGUAGCGGUGAAAUGCGCAGAUAUCAGGAAGAACACCCGUGGCGAAAGCGGCUCUCUGGAACGGUACUGACGCUGAGACGCGAAAGCGUGGGGAGCGAACAGG
rnacentral:rRNA from 1 species